GCCAUUUGAGCCAGUUCCACUGGUCUUGAAUCCACAGUUUGACUCCUGGACUGGCUUUAAGGGGAGCAAAGGAACACAUUCAUACAGGGACAGUAGUGCAAGGAGUCUGAUCGGGAUCAUGAAAGACCAUGCAUACCUGGCGGACAUUGAUCGUCGUCUUGUGCGCUCUUGGAUGUCUCUGCUGAGUGUGGAUGAUCUAAUGAGCUUCAUAUCCAGUGUGCAAGUGCACCUCCUUGACAUUCUAGAUUUCAUGCAGUUCAUUGUCAAAUCUGGAAUAACUCACUCAAACUACAAAGCUUUGAAAGAACUGGCAUUACAUCUCAUCAACAGAGAAAGCCAUCG